UCGCACUGCUAAGUGACUGGUUGGUCUUCCCUUGACCUCCUGUGUCUCAUUCCAGUGCAAGAUGAACUCCCUUCGAGCAGAAGGGCCAGGCCUUCUCCCCGUGGUCUGUCCCUUUCGAUAGUUGGGUACAAAC
ensembl:snoRNA